rnacentral:lncRNA from 1 species
AGAGGGGAGAAGAGAUGGGAGACAGACGGAGAAGUCUCGGUUUCGACACGGUGGCCGCGCCGAUCAUGGCUCUCCGGUGUCGACAUCACAGCCGGGUCCGCCGUACAUGGUGGUGGGGUUAUGUCGGUUCUCCGGCGUCGGCGGUGGUUCCAGGGUUUCCGGUCACCGCAACGGCGGCCAGCAGCUGUAAGUGGUUGCUAGGUUGUCGGUUGCUGUUUCUGUCGACAUCAGCAGAACUCGAUGACUUCAAGAAGCUCCGGCGAAACACCUAGGGUUCAGGUCCUAUUCCGGCGAAGUUCCAUCAAGAAGGAUUAAACCCCUCUACUUUCCGAUUAUACAACCCGAACCAGCCACCUUUUUCUCUACGUUGCUUCUUCCGCUUUUGAAAGCAUAAUGACCGCCAUCUACCCUUUUUGGGAGUCGCUGGAGGUAACAUCGCUCAAGUCAACAAACUCAGGUCGCCAAUUGGCUUCUUUCCGAUUUAACCACCACCCUCAUCAGAUGAACUGAUCAAGGCUUGCAUGUCUCAGAUCUGUGUAGAUCGGUAGCCACCCUCGACAACUUAGAACUACGCAUCAAAGAAAUUAAAGGACUUCCAUGCUGCCUAAUCCAAGGAAAACGGCUUCGCGCGAUUCUUUAUCCGGAGAAGACCCAACACCUUGACUUCAUCAAUAACACAAGCGUGAAUCCCCUUCUUUUUAUUGAAGAUAGCAUUUUUCCUGGCUCUCCAAAUAGCCCAGCAAGUAAUUAUCAUACCUAAAUGCACCAAUCUGUAUAGUUCAGUUUUACUUUGUAUUUUUAUAGAACCCAUCUGUAUAGUUCGGUUUUACUUUGUAAAUUAAACAUUGCUAUGGUUGUGAGAAAUAAAACUGACUCUCUUGCGCAACGCGCGUUGGCAAUAAUCCUAUUUAACUAUAAAAAUGUAAGGAGUUAAUUACGUUUUUCGUUCAUGUGGUUUGUCAAAAAUAACUAUUUCAGUCUAUGUAGUCAUUUCAAGUAAACUAACAAAAUAACUGGAUGGUGCUAGUAAAGAUGGACUGUAAUAGUUACGAAAGUGAAACCAUAGGUACUGUUUUGCCAAUUUUUAAACUAAGGAAUUGAAAUAAUGAUUUUUAAGGGGAGUGGGGUGGUCACUAGUGAUAGAAUUCCAUCACUCACAAGCAUCCAAUCAACUCCUGCCAUGUCAUCAGCCACUAUUCUAUCACUCACAAGCAUUUUUGUAAUGGCGGUGGUCACCAGUGAUAGAAUUCUAUCACUCACAAUUUUUUUUAAUUUUUAUUUUAAAAUUAGAAAUUAACAAUAA